rnacentral:lncRNA from 1 species
GCUAUUUAUUGUUACUUUCUGUAAUACUGUUCAUUGGUGGUGUCUGUGUUGUGUUUCAUUUUGAGUGUCAGUAUUGCUAGGGUGGAGAUUCAAGCCACACAAAGCACAACACAAAGAGAAAAAGCAACAACAGCAACAAAAGGGAUGGAGCUGGAGAAGCAAAGGGAGCUUGUCAAAGCCUGUAGAGAAGAAGUGAGGAUAAUUAAUCAGAUAAAUGGAGAUAGAGAGCAGGUGCGCUGGAAUAGUCUGAUGGGAACAAAAAGCAGUGGAAUGAAAAUGAACGUCAGAAGAGGGCGCUACUGAAGUAUUUGCCUCUGCACACCGUUCUGUUGUUCCCUGGAACUGGGAAGGGGUGAGCAAACAAUGAAGGACUGAAGAGCAAUGAUUAAAGGGCUGCCCUUCUUAAUAAUUAAAAAGAAAAUUUUGAAGGAAUAAUUUGGAAUGAUAAUGAGGAAACGAGAAGGCAAGAAACUUGAGGGAUCCAAAAUACAGGGUACUAGAGCUUUGCAAAUGGGAUCACCUCAGCCCAUAAUACUGCUGAGCUGAUCAGCUGUGGUUAGGCUACUAAGACAAACAUGAAGCCCACUUUUGUCCCUGUAGCUCAUUCUCCUCCUGACCAAGCCGACUGGGAAAUGCUAACUGUAAGGAUCUAAAAUGAUACGGCUGAAGGAUCUCUAGCAAUAGCAGCCUGAAUUACUACCCAAGCCUGCUCAGAGAAUAAGAGCAAGAAGAAACACAAAGGUGCGUGGAUUGGGCCUCACUCUCGGGCCGGUGGGGUACAUACGGUACCGCAGGGUGCAGCCCUCCAACCGGACUCAGUGCUGCUGAUCACAGCCCCCUGAGCUUGGCCAGUCAAGUUCUCCAUCCAUCUCGCUGACCACUCAUCUAUCCCACACGUCAUAAGCUUCUUCAGAAGGAUGUUGUGAGAGGCAGCCUUGCUGAAGUUGAGGUAUGCAACAUCCAUUGCUCUCCCCUCAUCUACCCGGAUGGUGAUGACAUUGCAGAAGGUUGCCAGUUUGGUUGAGCUUGGUUUCCCCUUGGUGAAUCCAUUCUGACUCCUGAUAACCUUCUUCUUUCUGUUUGCUUGGAGAUGGCAUCCAAAAUAAAUUGGUUCAUCAUUUUACA